rnacentral:lncRNA from 1 species
UCGCAAUAUGAAAAUAAACUUAUGCAGUUUUUAGACAACAAUCUUUCAUGAACAAAUAUUGGUAAUUUUGAAGCACUUGUGCAAAAACCCCCCAUAAUUUCACGUUGGCAUGGAAGCAAAAGUAUUGUCCGUUUGAUUAAUUCAAGAUGACAGAUGUCCAAAUAUUCUUGACAUUAAUGAAAAUGAAGCAUUUUGGUGAUAUUCUCGAUCAAAAAAUCUAUAAAAUGGUGGUUUGCUGCUAACUACCAACGGACAUGUCCUGGAAAAUGCAAGCAAGUAUCAUCAGCAUAGGACAGAACAGAGUUUUCAGGCAUGCCCGUCAGCAAGUCAUUCACAUAGAGUACAAAGAGUAAUGGACCAGCAUAGUUCCUUGAGGAACACCCUUAUUUACUUUUACAAAAGUCACUUGAAUGUGAAUCUAUUUUUCCUUUUUGUGUUCCAUUGGUUAGGUAGCUUGUAAUCAAUGUAUGCCCCUUUCUUAUACCGUAUGAAUAAAGUUUAUCAAGCAAUA